CUACGGGCGGCUCCAGUGAGGAAUAUUGCACAAUGGGGGGAACCCUGAUGCAGCAGCGCCGCGUGGAGGAUGACGCAUUUCGGUGUGUAAACUCCUUUUAUAUGUCAAGAAAAUGACGGUAGCAUAUGAAUAAGCACCGGCUAACUCCGUGCCAGCAGCCGCGGUAAUUCGGAGGGUGCAAGCGUUACUCGGAAUCACUGGGCGUAAAGGACGCGUAGGCGGGUUGGAAAGUCAGGUGUGAAAUCCUACAGCUUAACUGUAGAACUGCACUUGAAACUUCUAAUCUAGAGUAUGGGAGGGGGAGAUGGAAUUAGUGGUGUAGGGGUAAAAUCCGUAGAUAUCACUAGGAAUACCUAAAGCGAAGGCGAUCUCCUGGAACAUUACUGACGCUAAGGCGUGAAAGCGUGGGGAGCAAACAGGAUUAGAUACCCCAGUAGUC
rnacentral:rRNA from 1 species